GAACGAAGCAUGGGACGUGCUCGUUGCGAAUCAGUUUCAAAUGGGUGAAAUGCAGGAGCAUGGAAAUGAUCAAUACGAGCAGCUACAGUUACUAUCUAACUCCAGGCCUCAUGAGCAAAUCUGCAACUGCAAGCGCAAAUAAGAGAUUGUAGGAAAUGGGGCUCCACAUGCUUGACCUAGCCACAAGCGGAAGGCAUAAUUGAGUUCAUGAAGCAGAUACAGGGCAGGCGUGGGAUUGUGGUAAACACCCAGCACGGAUACAUAUUGUGUCCAGGCUUUGCGAAAACGUUGUGCAGGAUUCGAGAGCGCAGUCGAAAACAGGUUGUGUGAUGAAGUUCCACUAGUGUGUGUAAGAGAUGAACUUGCCAUCUUGGCACUAUGAAACGUGCAAGUGGGAUAUGAGAUCUUAGUCGUUAAGCAACACUGAGGGAAAUUAACAACGAAGUGGAGAUGUUCCAGUGCAACAAAACCCAUAUCAGGAUAACCAUUUUGUGACCCCUAAGCUUAUUGAUAUUGCCUGGUUUCUAUUAUCUGAUCAAGGGUGCUGUCGUGCUCUCAUUCCAUCGCCUGUGUUGGUGUGAAAACAGGAACAUAUUCGAUACCGUGUAUUCUCGGGUGUGCUUGCUUAGAAAUAAAAGUACAAAUAAUUGGUUGUGCUCUAUUCGUGUGUCUACUCAGGAGUAGUU